rnacentral:rRNA from 1 species
UACGUAGGGGGCAAGCGUUGUCCGGAUUUAUUGGGCGUAAAGAGCGUGUAGGCGGCCUGGUAGGUCAGCUGUGAAAACUCGAGGCUCAACCUCGAGACGCCGGUUGAAACCAUCAGGCUAGAGUCCGGAAGAGGAGAGUGGAAUUCCCGGUGUAGCGGUGAAAUGCGCAGAUAUCGGGAAGAACACCCGUGGCUAAGGCGGCUCACUGGACCGGUAUUGACGCUGAGGUGCGAAAGCGUGGGGAGCAAACAGG